GAGUAACACGUAUCCAACCUGCCGUCUACUCUUGGACAGCCUUCUGAAAGGAAGAUUAAUACAAGAUGGCAUCAUGAGUCCGCAUGUUCACAUGAUUAAAGGUAUUCCGGUAGACGAUGGGGAUGCGUUCCAUUAGAUAGUAGGCGGGGUAACGGCCCACCUAGUCUUCGAUGGAUAGGGGUUCUGAGAGGAAGGCCCCCCCACAUUGGAACUGAGACACGGUCCAAACUCCUACGGGAGGCAGCAUG
rnacentral:rRNA from 1 species